rnacentral:piRNA from 1 species
UAAGCCAGAUACAGUUUACCAUAAGAAAAG